rnacentral:rRNA from 1 species
GUUAUGGCUAGGGGGUUAUUGCAACUUACCAACCCAUGGCAAACUAAGAAUACCAUCAAGUUGCUCCUCGGGAGACAGACAUCGGGUGCUAACGUCCGGUGUCAAGAGGGAAACAACCCAGACCGCCAGCUAAGGUCCCAAAUGAUAGAUUAAGUGGUAAACGAAGUGGGAAGGCACAGACAGCCAGGAUGUUGGCUUAGAAGCAGCCAUCAUUUAAAGAAAGCGUAAUAGCUCACUGGUCGAGUCUUCCUGCGCGGAAGAUGUAACGGGGCUCAAAUCUAUAACCGAAGCUGCGGAUAUACUUUUGUAUAUGGUAGGGGAGCGUUCUGUAAGCCUGUGAAGGUGACUUGUAAAGGUUGCUGGAGGUAUCAGAAGUGCGAAUGUUGACAUGAGUAGCGAUAAAGCGGGUGAAAAGCCCGCUCGCCGAAAGCCCAAGGUUUCCUACGCAACGUUCAUCGGCGUAGGGUGAGUCGGCCCCUAAGGCGAGGCAGAAAUGCGUAGUCGAUGGGAAACAGGUUAAUAUUCCUGUACUUUGAUUCAAUGCGAUGUGGGGACGGAGAAGGUUAGGUUAGCAAACUGUUGGAAUAGUUUGUUUAAGCCAGUAGGUGGAAAGAGUAGGCAAAUCCGCUCUUUCUUAACACC